rnacentral:rRNA from 1 species
GAUGAACGCUGGCGGCGUGCCUAAUACAUGCAAGUCGAGCGAACGGACGAGAAGCUUGCUUCUCUGAUGUUAGCGGCGGACGGGUGAUUAACACGUGGAUAACCUACCUAUAAGACUGGGAUAACUUCGGGAAACCUUAGCUAAUACCGGAUAAUAUUUUGAACCGCAUGGUUCAAAAGUGAAAGACGUUCUUGCUUUCACUUAUAGAUGUAUCCGCGCUGCUUUAGCUAGUUGGUAAGGUAACGGCUUACCAAGGCAACGAUGCAUAGCCGACCUGAGAGGGUGAUCGGCCACACUGGAACUGAGACACGGUCCAGACUCCUACGGGAGGCAGCAGUAGGGAAUCUUCCGCAAUGGGCGAAAGCCUGACGGAGCAACGCCGCGUGAGUGAUGAAGGUCUUCGGAUCGUAAAACUCUGUUAUUAGGGAAGAACAUAUGUGUAAGUAACUGUGCACAUCUUGACGGUACCUAAUCAGAAAGCCACGGCUAACUACGUG